rnacentral:rRNA from 1 species
CCCUGGGGAAAAACUAACAGGAUUCCCCUAGUAACUGCGAGUGAAGCGGGAAAAGCUCAAAUUUAAAAUCUGGUGGCCCUUGGCCAUCCGAGUUGUAAUUUAGAGAAGCGUCUUCCGCGCUGGUCUGUGCACAAGUCUCCUGGAAUGGAGCGUCAUAGAGGGUGAGAAUCCCGUCUUUGGCACGGAUGCUGGUGCUUCUGUGAUGCGCUCUCGAAGAGUCGAGUUGUUUGGGAAUGCAGCUCAAAAUGGGUGGUGAACUCCAUCUAAAGCUAAAUAUUGGCGAGAGACCGAUAGCGAACAAGUACCGUGAGGGAAAGAUGAAAAGCACUUUGGAAAGAGAGUGAAACAGUACGUGAAAUUGUUGAAAGGGAAACGCUUGAAGUCAGUCGCGUCGACCGAGACUCAGCCUUGCCUUGGCUUGGUGUACUUCUCGGCUCGACGGGCCAGCAUCAAUUUUGUCUCUCGGAUAAUGGCAGGGGAAAGGUGGCACCUUUACGGGUGUGUUAUAGUCUCUUGUCGCAUGCGAGGGGUGGGAUUGAGGAACUCAGCACGCACCUCGGUGUCGGGGCUUUUGCCCACGUAACGUGCUUAGGAUGCUGGCGUAAUGGCUUUAAACGACCCGUCUUGAAACACGGACCAAGGAGUCCAACACGCACGCGAGUGUUCGGGUGGAAAACCCGUGCGCGUAAUGAAAGUGAAAGUUGGGACCUCUGUCGUGGAGGGCACCGACGCCCGGACCAGACCUUCUGUGACGGAUCUGCGGUGGAGCGUGUCUGUUGGGACCCGAAAGAUGGUGAACUAUGCCUGAAUAGGGUGAAGCCAGAGGAAACUCUGGUGGAGGCUCGUAGCGAUUCUGACGUGCAAAUCGAUCGUCAAAUUUGGGUAUAGGGGCGAAAGACUAAUCGAACCAUCUAGUAGCUGGUUCCUGCCGAGUUUUCCCCCUCAGGGAA